AUACGGAAGGUCCGGGCGUUAUCCGGAUUUAUUGGGUUUAAAGGGAGCGCAGGCGGAGAUGCAAGCGUGACGUCAAAUUUCGGGGCUCAACCCCGUCUCGCGUCGCGAACUGCGUCCCUUGGUUGCGGGAAGGGGAGGCGGAACUCGUGGUGUAGCGGUGAAAUGCAUAGAUAUCACGAAGAACUCCGAUCGCUAAGGCAGCCUUCCGGCCCGUCAACGACGCUCAUGCUCGAAGGUGCGGGUAUCAAACAGGAUUAGAUACCCUGGUAGUCCGCACAGUAAACGAUGGACACCCGCGGUUUGGCCUAUAUGGCUGAGCCGCCAAGCGAAAGCGUUAAGUGUCCCACCUGGGGAGUACGCCGGCAACGGUGAAACUCAAAUGAAUUGACGGGG
rnacentral:rRNA from 1 species